rnacentral:rRNA from 2 species
AUUGGCGGUCAUACCGCAAGGGAAACACCCGGUCUCAUCCCGAACCCGGAAGUUAAGCCUUGUUGGGAAGCAGACUGCACUGCACUUUGUGCGGAGCGGCUCUUACGCUGCCAAUC